CAUGGCGCUGGCGGAUGGCCUAAUACAUGCAAGUCGAACGGCAGCACAGGAGAGCUUGCUCUCUGGGUGGCGAGUGGCGGACGGGUGAGGAAUACAUCGGAAUCUACUCUGUCGUGGGGGAUAACGUAGGGAAACUUACGCUAAUACCGCAUACGACCUACGGGUGAAAGCAGGGGACCUUCGGGCCUUGCGCGAUUGAAUGAGCCGAUGUCGGAUUAGCUAGUUGGCGGGGUAAAGGCCCACCAAGGCGACGAUCCGUAGCUGGUCUGAGAGGAUGAUCAGCCACACUGGAACUGAGACACGGUCCAGACUCCUACGGGAGGCAGCAGUGGGGAAUAUUGGACAAUGGGCGCAAGCCUGAUCCAGCCAUACCGCGUGGGUGAAGAAGGCCUUCGGGUUGUAAAGCCCUUUUGUUGGGAAAGAAAUCCAGCUGGCUAAUACCCGGUUGGGAUGACGGUACCCAAAGAAUAAGCACCGGCUAACUUUCUUGCCACCAGCCGCGGUAAUACGAAGGGUGCAGCGUUACUCCGAAUUACUGGGCGUAAAGCGUGCGUAGGUGGUCGUUUAAGUCCCU
rnacentral:rRNA from 1 species